UUCGAUUCAGCUCCGAUUGAACGCUGUGGGAUACUUUACACAUGCAAGUCGAACGGCAGCACGGACUUCGGUCUGGUGGCGAGUGGCGAACGGGUAGAGAGUAAUGUAUCGGAACUUGAUGCCUAGUAGCGGGGGAUAACUACGCGAAAGCGUAGCUAAUACCGCAUACGCCCUUCGGGGGAAAGCGGGGGACCUUCGGGCCUCACGCACUAAUGGAAACGGCCGAUAUCGGAUUAGCUAGUUGGUGGGGGUAACGGCUCACCAAGGCGACGAUCCGUAAGCUGCGUUGAGGGCGACCAGCCGCAGGACUGAGACGGCCCAGACUCCUGGGAGGCAGCAGUGGGAAUUUGGACCAAUGGAAGCGGUCCAGCCCAUCGCAUGCGACGAAGGCCUUCGGGUUGUAAACACUUUUGGCAGGAAAGAAACGGCACGGAUACGUGCCCGGUGACCCGGCUGUUCUGAAUAACAGCACCGGCUAACUACGUGCCAGCAGCCGCGGUAAUACGUAGAGAUUGCAAGCGUUAAUCAGGAAUUACUGGGCGUAAAGCGUGCGCAGGCGGUUCGGAAAAAGAUGAAAUCCCUGAGCUUAACUUUGGGGAACUGCAUUUUAACUGCCGAGCUAGAGUGUGUCAGGGAGGUGGAAUUCCGCGUGUGGUGAAAUGCGUAGAUAUGGGAAGAACUGCUGAUAGCGAAGGCGGCCUCACUGCGGGAUAACACUGACGCUCAUGCACGAAAGCGUGAGGCAAACAGGAUUAGAUACUGUUGGUCCACGCCUAAACGAUGUCAACUAGCUGUUGGGGCCUUCGGGCCUUCAAGUAGCGCAACUAACGCAAUGAAGUUGACCGCCUGGGGAAAUUACCGGUCGCAAGAUUAAAACUCGAAAGUUGACCGGGGACCCGCACAGCCAGUGGAUGAUGUGGAUUAAUUCGAUGCAACGCGAAAACCUUACCUACCUUGACAUGUCUGGAAUCGAAGAGAGAUUUGCGAAGUGCUCGCAAAGGCAGGAACCUGGUGCUCUGCCAGCUGUCAUCGGCUCGUGUCGUGAGAUGUUGGUUGAUCGCAACGACUGUACCAAUAACCGGACUGCUGCAAAAAAGGGCACUCUAAUGAGACUGCCGGUGACAAACCGGAGGAAGGUGAGGAUGACGUCAGGUCCUCAUGGCCCUUAUGGUGGGGCUUCACACGUCAUACAAUGGUCGGGCCAGAGGGUCGCCAACCCCGCGAGGGGGGCCAUCCCAGAGGCGAUCGUAGUCCGGAUCGCAGUCUGCAACUCGACUGCGUGAAGUCGGAAUCGCUAGUAAUUGCGGAUCAGCAUGUCGCGGUGAAUACGUUCCGGGUCUUGUACACACCACCCGUCACACCAUGGGAGUGGGUUUUACCAAGAAGUAGUUAGCCUAACCGUAAGGAGGGCGAUUACCACAGUAGGAUUCAUGACUGAGGUGAGGUCGUAGCUAAGGUAACUCUGGUACUGCAAUUCCCGG
rnacentral:rRNA from 1 species